rnacentral:lncRNA from 1 species
UCAGGAUUUCUUGUCACAAGUGUAGAGUUUGGCUGUAGGAAGGAGCAAGAGGUGUGCAUCUUGUUUCUCAAUGUGUUGUACCUUCAGAAUUCAGUCCUUGGUGAAAAUGGGAACGUUGAUCUUCACUUUAAAGGGACUGCUGUGAAAAGCAGUAUCAAGCUUUUGGAGCUGGACCAGCUCCAAGGAAUGACAGGGCCAGAAGGUGAAUCUAUUCUGGACAAUAAGGAGGGAUUUGUAGAGGAAAUAAGGUCAGUUUAUUAUUUUAAAUAAUAAUAAUAAUAAAAAAGGUAGAAGGGCAUAAUGGCA